CUCUCCCUCCCACCGCCCUCCUCCGCAGCCCACUCCUUCUCCCUUCCACAUCCAGAGAACGGAAUAUUUCAAGGUGAAUUCAAAGACGAAAACUUUGAGGACAAGUAUAGUAUUCAUUCUCUCAAACGAUGGGAUAUUCUAAAUUUCAAAACAAAAAGAAAGGAAAUUUUCAAUUUUGUAACCAAAGUUGAAAUCUCCAUUACCGUGAACUCAUUCAUCAAAAUCAAACUGAACAAUCAAACCAGCAAAAUGUCCUACAUGGCUGAAAACCCAGAAACAGAGGCCAGAAAUUAAAAUAGUUUUUUUCAAUCCGCAUUUAGCCUUAUGGCUAGGUGCCGAGUGACAAGACCGCCGUUGGCGGAGGAGACGACGCCUUCAACACCUUCUUCAGCGAAACCGGCGCCGAAAAGCACGUUCCACGCGUCGUCUUCGUCGAUCUGGAGCCAACCGUCAUCGACGAGGUGAGAACCGACGCCUACCGCCAACUCUUCCACUCGGAGCAACUCAUCAGCGGCAAGGAGGACGCUGCCAACAACUUCGCUCGUGGAUCUGGGUGGACGCGUCAAGGAGGAAGGAAGGGGCGUGAGCGGCGACGGCGAGAUUUGUUGUCGUUGUGCGGAGGUGUACGAGGAGCUGAGUUGUUCAAGAAAUAUGGCGGCCCUCCGGCCUCCACCGCCCACAUCUCAGAUUCAAACAAGAUCUGGAAAUGGGAGUUGGGUUUGACACCCCACCUAUGAGGCUUGGCACCCCACUUUAUCAAAUACGGAAUUUAAAGUUCCGUAUUCUCCAUAUUGAAUACGGAACUUAAAAUUCCGUACUGUAUUUAAGCAUGCGUGUCACAUUUUCAACCACUCAUUAUAUACUAAAACAGAUACGAAAUUUUAUUUUCCGUAUUGAUACGGAAAUUUAAAUUCCGUAUCUAUUUUAGUGGGGUUCAAAGCCUAAGGGGUGGGGCUCCAAACCCAACUCCCUCUGGAAAUCUAGGAUGAUGAUGGUGGAAGGAGCAAGGAGGAAAAAAUUGAGAAAAUAAGGAUAUUUUUGUCUAAUCAUUUAAAAUUUUAAAUGAAAUUAUGUUUUCAAAACAAUAUUUAAAUUAAUAAAUUAUAAGGGGAUCGUUUGUGCAUCUGACAUCUGUACACCGCCUAUGUUGGUGGUGGUGCUAACUUAGCCAUAUAAAAAUGUAAUAAUGUAAUAAUUUGAAAAUAAUAAUUAAUGGCUAAGGACCAAACGACACUUGGAGGAAACCGUGUUGCA